rnacentral:rRNA from 1 species
GACGUAGGGCGCGAGCGUUGUCCGGAUUUAUUGGGCGUAAAGAGCUCGUAGGCGGCUUGUCGCGUCGUCCGUGAAAACCUGCAGCUCAACUGCAGGCUUGCGGUCGAUACGGGCAGGCUAGAGUUCGGUAGGGGAGACUGGAAUUCCUGGUGUAGCGGUGAAAUGCGCAGAUAUCAGGAGGAACACCAACGGCGAAGGCAGCUCGCUGGUCCGGUACUGACGCUGAGGUGCGAAAGCGUGGGGAGCAAACAGG